AGAGUUUGAUCCUGGCUCAGGACUAACGCUGACGGUGUGCUUAAUACAUGCAAGUCGAACGGGCGAUAGGAGAGUGGCAACACUUUCUUAAAGCUAGUGGCGAACGGGUGCGUAACGCGUGGGUAAUCUGCCUUGAAGAUUGGGAUAACUCCUUGAAAAAGGAGCUAAUACCGGAUGUGCUGUAAUUCUCGCAUGUUUUUUACAGUAAAAGUAGCCGCAAGGCUUCUGCUUCAAGAUGAGCCCGCGUCCUAUUAGCUUGUUGGUAGGGUAACGGCCUACCAAGGCUAUGAUGGGUAGCCGGUCUGAGAGGAUGGUCGGUCACACUGGGACUGAGAUACGGCCCAGACUCCUACGGGAGGCAGCAGUAGGGAAUCUUGCGCAAUGGGCGAAAGCCUGACGCAGCGACACCGUGUGAAGGAUGAAGGUCUUCGGAUCGUAAACUUCUGUCAAUUGGGGACGAAGGUACUAAGGUUAAUAGCCUUUAGUAUUGACGGUACCCAAAAAGGAAGUCUCGGCUUACUCCGUGCCAGCAGCCGCGGUAAGACGGGGGAGGCUAGCGUUGUCCGGAAUUAUUGGGCGUAAAGAGCGCGUAGGUGGCUUAUCAAGUCAUUUGUGAAAACUUUAGGCUUAACUUAAAGAUUGCAAGUGAUACUGGUGGGCUUGAGCACAGCAGAGGAAAGUGGAAUUCCUGGUGUAGCGGUGAAAUGCGCAGAUAUCAGGAAGAACACCAGUGGCGAAGGCGGCUUUCUGGGCUGUUGCUGACACUGAGGCGCGAAAGCUAGGGGAGCGAACAGGAUUAGAUACCCUAGUAGUCC
rnacentral:rRNA from 1 species